rnacentral:rRNA from 1 species
UACGGAGAGUGCAAGCGUUGUUCGGAAUUAUUGGGCGUAAAGGGCGUCUAGGUGGCAUGGCAAGUCAGGUGUGAAAUCCCUCGGCUCAACCGAGGACGUGCACUUGAAACUGCUAAGCUUGAGUAUCGGAGGGGGCAGCGGAAUUCCUGGUGUAGAGGUGAAAUUCGUAGAUAUCAGGAGGAACACCAGUGGCGAAGGCGGCUGCCUGGCCGAAUACUGACACUGAAGCGCGAAAGCGUGGGGAGCAAACAGG